GACGAACGCUGGCGGCGUGCCUAACACAUGCAAGUCGAGCGGUAAGGCCCUUUCGGGGGUACACGAGCGGCGAAACGGGUGAGUAACACGUGGGUGACCUGCCCUCAGCUCUGGGAUAAGCCUGGGAAACUGGGUCUAAUACUGGAUAUGACUCCACGGUGCAUGUCGUGGGGUGGAAAGCCUUGUGCGGCUGAGGAUGGGCCCGCGGCCUAUCAGCUUGUUGGUGGGGGAUGGCCUACCAAGGCGACGACGGGUAGCCGGCCUGAGAGGGCGACCGGCCACACUGGGACUGAGACACGGCCCAGACUCCUACGGGAGGCAGCAGUGGGGAAUCUUGCGCAAUGGGCGAAAGCCUGACGCAAGCGACGCCGCGUGAGGGAUGACGGCC
rnacentral:rRNA from 1 species